UCUUUGACAAUACCUUGGUUUUUCUUUGACCAUUCCAAAUUUGGAUGCAAUAUUUUGAUAUGGUGGAUACAUUCAAGUGUUGAAGACAAUGAUUUUGUGACCUCUGGAUAAGAACGCUUAAUCUUAAAGGUGAAACCCAUCAUUAGUCACAUGCUUAGUAUUUAAAGUAGUUAAACAUGAAAAAGCUUCUUUUGUGUAAAUAUAACUGGAUUUUUGUUCUAGGAUUCUCAAAGUUGUUAAGUGUAAUAAAUUCAAUGUUUGAAACACAA